rnacentral:sRNA from 1 species
CUAAUAUGUAGAAUGCAGAAAGAAACUAUGGGUCCAUCGUUUGCAGAGGAGACUGAGUCGAAGAAGAUAAUCCAAAAUCAAACAUGUCCCCCUUCGAAAUGCCAUUCCCAGUCGUGCUCACAAAGAGCGUUCUCAACCGUGAUUUUCUUCUUUCUACCAAUGAUUAUUCAUUCAAUCACCGUUUAAAUCACUUUUUUCCAAUUUCGUUUAAAUAGAUGUAUAUGAUAUAUUAGUAUAUAAAAGGUGGACACAGUAGUGAGAGCUUCUAUUUCCACUACAGCUGGAGCUUUGAUUCCCUUUUCCCUCCAUCGGUGGUUAUGGCAGUGGAGAAAUAAAAGCUUCAGGAAGAAUUCGUAAUCCGCCGCUUCUACAAGAUUAUUCUUAGUUGGGACUACGUUGCUCUCCUCAAGGAAUCUAAGGAGCAGAAGAAAGGGACUGCAAAGUCGACACUCGUGAAGGUGAAGAACGGGUAUACAGAAGUUGAUGACUAUAUUGCAACCUACGAACCGCUCAUCUUUGAAGAAGCCAAAUCCCAGAUCAUUAAGGAGAAAGAGGAAGAAGAUGGUAUCUUUAAUUUCAACUAUUUUUUCGUUUUAGCCAGAGGACUGUUAAAGCCCUGUCUAAGUUGCGGUUUUCCCUUUCUCACUUCAAUUUAAAUAAUAAUUGGUUUGCUUUUCAUGUUUUAAAGUUAGAAGGGUCCACCAAUGUAGUGAGGUAUGGUUGACAAAUAAAUCUUCUUCUUAAGCACAUAAUGAAAGGUCCGAUUCUGAGUCUGUGUUAAUAGAGAAUAUCUAUUAAGAGAGACUUUCCCUUGGUUGUUAUCUUAGUACCUGCUUGCGUUGGAAUAAUAGAUACGUUUCCAGUGCUGGGUGUUGAUAACACUGGUGUUUUUG